GAUGAACGCUGGCGGCGUGCCUAAUACAUGCAAGUCGAGCGAACAGAUGAGGAGCUUGCUCCUCUGACGUUAGAGGCGGACGGGUGAGUAACACGUGGAUAACCUACCUAUAAGACUGGGAUAACUUCGGGAAACCGGAGCUAAUACCGGAUAAUAUAUUGAACCGCAUGGUUCAAUAGUGAAAGACGGUUUUGCUGUCACUUAUAGAUGGAUCCGCGCCGCAUUAGCUAGUUGGUAAGGUAACGGCUUACCAAGGCGACGAUGCGUAGCCGACCUGAGAGGGUGAUCGGCCACACUGGAACUGAGACACGGUCCAGACUCCUACGGGAGGCAGCAGUAGGGAAUCUUCCGCAAUGGGCGAAAGCCUGACGGAGCAACGCCGCGUGAGUGAUGAAGGUCUUCGGAUCGUAAAACUCUGUUAUUAGGGAAGAACAAAUGUGUAAGUAACUAUGCACGUCUUGACGGUACCUAAUCAGAAAGCCACGGCUAACUACGUG
rnacentral:rRNA from 1 species